rnacentral:rRNA from 1 species
UACAGAGGUCUCAAGCGUUUGUUCGGAUUCAUUGGGCGUAAAGGGUGCGUAGGCGGCAGUGCAAGUCAGGUGUGAAAUCCCGGGGCUCAACCCCGGAACUGCACUUGAUACUGCUCUGCUAGAGUACUGGAGAGGAGACUGGAAUUUACGGUGUAGCAGUGAAAUGCGUAGAUAUCGUAAGGAAGACCAGUGGCGAAGGCGAAUCUCUGGACAGUUACUGACACUGAGGCACGAAGGCCAGGGGAGCAAACGGG